rfam:Tstilago hordei, Th4857-4, WGS project CAGI01000000 data, contig: THOR_scaffold_5.00066
GGGAAUAUGGUCUAGUGGUAUGACGUCGCUUCCGCAUACCAACAGACUUCUCGGUUUAGCGGUUCGGAAAAGCGAAGGUCCGGGGUUCGAUCCCCUGUGUUUCCA